GUUGUGACUCAGUGGUACAGUGUUUGCCUAGCACGUGGGAGGCACUGGGUUCGAUUCUCAGCAUGACA
rnacentral:tRNA from 1 species